rnacentral:misc_RNA from 1 species
GUCAAACAGAACUAUCUUCCGGCAUCUAUAGAAUUUGUGGACAUGAAUCUAUUGGAAGAUGAGUUAUACGAUGUGCUUGUCAUUUCAAUUGAUCUCAGUUGCAUCAAUCUUGCGUUUAUUUCGCUCAGACGACUAGAAUCAAUUGACCCCCAGUUUUCUACUGAAGGAAGCUUCUCAUCUCCGUUAAGAUACCUUGUAACUUGCCUGAUGCUAGGCCUCGCUUCUGCUCUCUGAUGAGAACAAAGAAGACCCAAUUCCAGAACCAACUUCAUGUCUUCUUCUACAUAGCUUGACCCCAACAUUGAAUCAACUGCAUCAAGAAUUCUUCCCAUUUGUUGGCAUUCCAUUACCCAAUCUACCAAUAUGAACUGGCCUGACUCGAUAGGCCUCCUGCCUGUAGCGACUUCAAGAAGCAGAACCCCAUAUGCAAACACAUCUGAAUUAGUCGAGGCCUUCCCUGUGCGUGCCAACUCUGGCGCAAUAUACCCAAUAGUGCCGACGACGUUUGUGGUGUGUGAAUUUAUGCCAUGAUCAUAUAGCCUAGCAAGACCAAAGUCUCCCAAUCGUCCGUUCAUUUCUGCGUCUAUCAGGACAUUGCUAGACUUGAUGUCUCUGUGAAUCACCACUUGCUCCCAUUCUUCGUGCAGGUACAUUAGCCCCGCUGCAAUGCCUUUAACGAUGUUGAAUCUUUGUUCCCAGCUCAAUACCGAAUCAUUUUUCGGAUGGAAUAGCAGCGAGUCGAGGCUUCCAUUUGGAAUGUAGUCAUAGACUAGAAGGAGAUCAUUUUUCUUUUUACACCAUCCUUGGAGAUUCACUAAGUUCUUGUGCCUUAAUCGUCCCAGGCUUUCGAUCUCUGCUACAAAUUCUUUCAACCCUUGAAUCGAAUUACGAGUGAUCUUCUUAACGGCAACUUCAUUUCCAGUACUAGGCAUUACAGCUUUGUAAACUGUACCGAACCCUCCAACUCCAAUGAUCUCAGUAUCUUUAAAACCUUUAGUUGCUGUAUAAAGAUCUCGAUAGCGAAACCUGUGUGGACACUCCAAUUCCCAAUCUUCAAGUGUCUCAAAUUGCCUCAUUCUUUUGUAAAGCUUGAAAAAGAGCAGUAACCCAGACAAAAGAACGGUCACUACACAUAAAGCGACGAUAAGAGCAAUCAAUGAGAAUUGGAAAGACGAUGAAUCUUUGUCGGCUGGAGGUAUAGGAAGUCGAGAGAGAUUCAAUGGAGGGGCUGCUCCUGUUGUGGAAAAACUCCAUCCCAAAAUGUAAUGAGAGCUUGCUGGUGUGUCCCCUGUGGCGGCAGAGAAACCAACAUACAUAAUCUCCUUCACAACUGAAGUUAGAUCAACAGAAUGUUGGAGGAGUGGUUUGACUGGUUUCUGUUGCCACAUCGGACCUAUUGUUACAUUCACAGUUUUACUCACACCAUUAUAAUCAACCCAGGCUUGAAUUGGGUCACCUUUAUGCAUGUCUAUUUCGUCUUCUUUCUGUGUGUUGUUGAUGUCAGUGUAACCAGCAGGCCUCGACGUUUUGGAAUCCAUGCUGUUAAUGUUGAUUCCAACAUGGUUUCCAUUGCUAUCUUUCGGCUCGUUGAACCCUUUAACAGUAUCGAAUUCAACUGCGAAAAUAUGGUUUAAUUUAUUGCCUUCAUUCGACUCAUUAAAGAGGCCGAGGUGGUGCCCAGCAGCAGCUCCUGCGAUCUGGUAGGUGGGAGCGAUAGCGAACGCGAGGCCAUAACCUCCUUGGCCUGAAGCAGGAGGAACUAUUGAGAAGACGAAAUAAGUGCUGAAAGAAGUAGCAUUUGGUGAUGUGCUGCUAAACAUUUGUAUAGGUUUGAAAUAGAAUCCAUGUCCUAUGGCAUUUUUCGUUUUGUUAGUGAGCCUGAGGGCACCACUAGGCUUCAAAACAGAAGCUCUAUCAAGAAGAAUCCUCCUUUCAUUUCCAUUAAUGAAUCCUUCGAAAAUGAAUUCUUCUGAUUGAGCUUCAUGAAGAGUAACAGAAAAGUAGAAGACUAGCAAAGCUAAGGAGAUCAUGGACAACAAGGCCAUGAGGGAGGUUCCUAUUUUGCUGUGGAAUUGGAAGAUAAUACCAAGAAGGAUCAAAAGAGAUGAUGGGUAUAUAAAGAGAAGAAAUGAAAGACUUGAAUUUGUCAAAAGUCCAGAACAUGUAGAUGCAAUUAAG